rnacentral:rRNA from 1 species
AUCACUAAGCGGAGGAAAAGAAACUAACGAGGAUUCCCUCAGUAGCGGCGAGCGAACAGGGAGAAGCCCAGCUUGAAAAUCGCACCGUUCCGCGAUGCGAGUUGUAGUCUGGAGAAGUGUCCUCUGCAGCGGACCCGGUCUAAGUCCUCUGGAAAGGGGCGUCAGAGAGGGUGAGAACCCCGUCGGGCCGGGACCCUGCUGCUCCACGAGGCACUGUCGACGAGUCGGGCUGUUUGGGAAUGCAGCCCUAAGUGGGAGGUAAAUUCCUUCCAAGGCUAAAUACGGGCGGGAGACCGAUAGCGAACAAGUACCGCGAGGGAAAGAUGAAAAGGACUUUGAAAAGAGAGUUAAAAAGUGCUUGAAAUUGCUGGGAGGGAAGCGAAUGGAGGCCUCGUGUGCGCCCCGGUCGGAUGCGGAACGGCGUGAGCUGGUCCGCCGCUCGACGCGGGGUGCUGGUCGGCGUGGGCUUCUUCGGCGGGAGAAAAGUCGGCCUUUUGUGGCCGGCCGAUGCCGUCGAGGAGGCUGAGGAUCCGAAGUGCGCGCUUCUCGGAGCGAGCCUUGAACCCCUCAAAGGGCUCAGGGUAUUACUGCGUGCUCGGGACGUCGGCGUUGUGGGCUU